rnacentral:rRNA from 1 species
GCUUGUUGGUGGGGUGAUGGCCUACCAAGGCGACGACGGGUAGCCGGCCUGAGAGGGCGACCGGCCACACUGGGACUGAGACACGGCCCAGACUCCUACGGGAGGCAGCAGUGGGGAAUAUUGCACAAUGGGCGCAAGCCUGAUGCAGCGACGCCGCGUGGGGGAUGACGGCCUUCGGGUUGUAAACCUCUUUCGUCAGGGAAGAAGCCUUUUUGGGGUGACGGUACCUGGAGAAGAAGCACCGGCUAACUACGUGCCAGCAGCCGCGGUAAUACGUAGGGUGCGAGCGUUGUCCGGAAUUAUUGGGCGUAAAGAGCUUGUAGGCGGUUUGUCGCGUCUGCGGUGAAAACCCGGGGCUUAACCUUGGGCGUGCCGUGGGUACGGGCAGGCUAGAGUGUGGUAGGGGAGACUGGAAUUCCUGGUGUAGCGGUGAAAUGCGCAGAUAUCAGGAGGAACACCGAUGGCGAAGGCAGGUCUCUGGGCCAUAACUGACGCUGAGAAGCGAAAGCAUGGGGAGCGAACAGGAUUAGAUACCCUGGUAGUCCAUGCCGUAAACGUUGGGCGCUAGGUGUGGGGCUCAUUCCACGAGUUCUGUGCCGCAGCUAA